rnacentral:rRNA from 1 species
UGGGGAAUAUUGGACAAUGGGCGCAAGCCUGAUCCAGCCAUACCGCGUGGGUGAAGAAGGCCUUCGGGUUGUAAAGCCCUUUUGUUGGGAAAGAAAUCCUGUCGAUUAAUACUUGGCGGGGAUGACGGUACCCAAAGAAUAAGCACCGGCUAACUUCGUGCCAGCAGCCGCGGUAAUACGAAGGGUGCAAGCGUUACUCGGAAUUACUGGGCGUAAAGCGUGCGUAGGUGGUGGUUUAAGUCUGCUGUGAAAGCCCUGGGCUCAACCUGGGAAUUGCAGUGGAUACUGGGUCACUAGAGUGUGGUAGAGGGAUGCGGAAUUUCUGGUGUAGCAGUGAAAUGCGUAGAGAUCAGAAGGAACAUCCGUGGCGAAGGCGGCAUCCUGGGCCAACACUGACACUGAGGCACGAAAGCGUGGGGAGCAAACA